rnacentral:rRNA from 1 species
UACAGAGGGGGCGAGCGUUAUUCGGAAUUACUGGGCGUAAAGCGUGCGUAGACGGUUAUUUAAGUCGGGUGUGAAAGCCCCGGGCUCAACCUGGGAAUUGCAUUCGAGACUGAAUAGCUAGGGUACGGUAGAGGGAAGUGGAAUUUCCGGUGUAGCGGUGAAAUGCGUAGAUAUCGGAAGGAACAUCAGUGGCGAAAGCGACUUCCUGGACCAGUACCGACGUUCAGGCACGAAAGCGUGGGGAGCAAACAGG